rnacentral:lncRNA from 1 species
UCCCAUCCCCCAUCCUCGUCUCUCUUCCCUCUUCCCUCUUCCCCCUUCCUCCAUCCCCCUGCUCUCUCUCCCUCUCUCUUCUCUCCCCCCCCCACAAGAUUGUGGGUGAUUGUUUCUCAAGAGCAAGAAGUUAUGGACCUCGCCUCUGCAGAGGAGGAGAAGAAAAAGGUGGAGGAAUCCCACACUUCAGUUGAGAUUAGAGAGAUGUGUAAAAUGUGAGAAACAGUGCAAAAUUUUGUAGAAAAGCGCCACCUGAGUAAGGGUGUAGCAGUAUGAGUGAUGAAUCUGUUUAAUGACAAUGCAAUGCCACAUUUCUACAAAUCCUCAAAAGGAGAGAAAAGUAAGUGUCAUUGGAUGGUUUCCUUCUUAGAGUUGCAUGAAAAGAAAAAAUUUCCUUGAGCCAAUAGAUAACAAUGAUUCCCUUAGUGAUAGUGAAAGUUUUCCUGAAGAAUAACCCUCCUCUCUCUUGUCUCCCUCACACCAGCCACAAAGGUUUUGAAAGGACCUCAGUGACUGGCUCCCUGGCAUCCCCUAGCUGCUAUCUCCAUUGGCUCAUCCCUAAGAACACUUCCUGUCUUGUCCUCCACCAGAAUGCAGUCUGGGCAAAGGCCAUGACUUCAUUGCUGACCAGACGUGGAAGUCAUGAUACUCUUCUCUUUUAGACUCAGAUGAAACACAAUGCCACUGGACAUGAGACCUGCCUUCCUCUCUACCUGAACAGGAUGAUGCAACCCAGAAGAAUAGGGAAGUUAAUGCCCUGUCAGGCACAUAUUGAUAAAAGACUUCACAUGACAGCCUUUCUUCCCCAUUCCCACCGUAGGAAAGACUAACAUCCUCUCCACCCAUCUAAGUUCUUAGGUGGGAUCUUCUGCUGGGUUUAGGAACUACAGUCACAAGCAGAUUAACAGGAAGAAGCCAUACAAGUUUUAUUAAUAUUGCCUAUGCAUGGAGGCUUUCACGGGGGAGUGAAAGGCCAAAGAAAUGGCCAAAGCAGAAAGCUCUUCCACCUUGUAGACAAAGAACACUAGAUAUGAGGAAAUUGUAGGACUAAGAGAUCUGGAAUAGGAGAAGUAAGUUCUAGGGUGGUCAGUAGAAGACAUGGGGAGGUGAAAGGUUAGAGGACAAUCAGGGUUACUGUAGUGAUUUAUUUAUUUGGGUCCACUGAAGCAACCAAUUCCCAGUCUGUGGCGAUAAGGACUACUCUCUUGCCUGGGUAUAAGGGAGGGACUUAUCUCAAGCAACUUUACAGCAUGAAAAGGCAGGUCAGCUCUUUCUGCAGCUUCAGCUUCUCCAGUGUUUUCAGCCUGAAAUAGUUGAUAUACCAAUUCAGCAUGUUCAGGGGUGAAUUGUUCUGAACACCCGUCACCUCCACCCUCACCCCUGGUGUUCACUUAAUUGAGCUGUUUGCUAAUGGAAUUGCGCUCAGCUUGCAAAUGUGCCACUUUGUGCUUGCUUUCCCUCCUUUUUGGCCUCAUUCCAUUUUUCCCUUCAGUUUUGCUGUCCAGGAUUUGCAGUACUAGCAUACAAGUUUUGCUUCAGUCUUGGCUUCCUAGAAAUCUGAGCAAAGAUCAUAAGGAACUAUUAUAAAACAAUCCUCUUGAAAAUAGGCAGAUAUGAAUAGUUCAUUAAAAGAACUAUUAAAGCAACUAGAGAUAUAAAUGACUCUUAGAAAUAUGAAAAGUUAGCCAGCAUACUGGCACAUGCCUAUAAUCCCAGUGCUCUGGGAGGCUGAGGCAGGAGGAUCAUGAGUUUGAGCCCAGCCUGGGCAACUUAGUGACUUAGCAAAACCCUUGUCUAAAAAUAAAAAAAUAAAAAAAAGCCUGGGGGUGUAUCUCACAGUAUAGGCCCUGGUUUCAAUCCCUAAUAUUGAAAAAAAAAGUGAAAAGCUGUUCAAUCUCACUCAUAGUGAGAAACACAAAAUAAAAUUAUGAUGAUAUAUACUUUUUGAGCAGUUUUAUAAUGUGCUGUGUCAGCAAUGGUGUGGAAAAAUAGACACUGUCAUUGCUGGUGGAAAUACGCAUUGCUAUAACUUCUGUGGAGGAUAAUAUAGCAAUAUUUUAAAAGGUAAAAAAAAAAUACACGUAGUCCUCAGGUCAGCAAUUUUGCGCUCACUGUUGUAAAAAGAUUGGAAAUGUCUAGUCCCCCUCAAGUAGAGAUUGGCUUAGUAGAGGAAGUUUCUUUUUAAUGUACUGAUUAUAAAGACCAGCAGUUUAUAUUAAGUAAAAAUAUCUCUAGAGAUAUAUAUAUAUACAGCAAACUGAUAACAGUGGUUGUCUCUGGGAUUGGGCAGACUUAUUUUGCAUCUUUUGUGCCUUUUGAAUUGUGUAGUAUGUGGAUGUGUUAUCUAUUUUAAAAAUUUUAUUGAAGAAUAACUUAUGUAGAGUUUAAACCAUAUCAAUUUAAAAUGCAUAAUGCAGUGAGUUUUUAAAAGUGUAUAUAUUUGUGAAAUGAACACCACAAUCAAGAUACAGAACAUUUAUAUUGUCAUCAAAAGAUUCCAUGUGCCCUUUAUCCUCCAUCCCUCUUUGUCCUGGCCCCCAGCAACCACUGAUCUGCUUUCUAUCAUGAGAGAUUAGUUUGCAUUUUGUAUAAAUGGAUCAUACAACAUUCCCUGUUUUGUAUAUGGCUUCUACAUUUUGCAUAAUGAUUUUGAUAUUCGUUUGUGUUAUGUGUAUCAAUGGUUGAUUUCCGAAUAGUGUCCUAUUAUUAUGAAUGUUCCACAUUUUGUUCAUCCAGUCAACUGUUGAUACAUUUGGGUUGUUUACAGAUUUGUACUCCAUGAAUAAUGCUCUUAUUAACAUUUCCUUACAAGUCUUUGAGUGGAAAUAGGCUUUCGUUUUUUUAGAUAAAUAGGAGUGCAACUGCUAGAUUGUAUGGUAGGUAUAUAAUAACUUUGAAAGAAAUGUUAAUUAUUCAAAGUGAUUGUACUAUUUUCCAUUCCCAACAUGAAAAUUCCAAUUGCUCUACAUUCUUGCCAAUUCUUGGUAUUGUUGGUCUUUUAUUUUUACAAUGGAUGCAUAGUGGUAUUAAACAUUUUUAAAGAUACAGUUAAAUAUAAAUAAAUAGAUAAUUACUUGCAGCCUGUCCCCUCCAAGUCUAUAAAUAAUUCUAUGAAAAAAUUGAAUGUUAAGAUUGUAAGGGAGUUGAGUUAAUCAGACUCCUAUUACUAUAACGAAAUACCUGAGAUAGUCAACUUAAAAAGAGAAAAGGUUUAUUUUGGCUCUCAGUUUUUGGAGGUUUUAGUCCAUGGCUGGUUAGCCCCAUUGCUUUUGACUCUAUAGUAAGGUGGUAUAUCAUGGUAGGAAUGUGUGGUGGAGCAGGCUGCUUACCUCAUGAGGGUGGGAAGCAGAAGUGAGAAAGGAAAAGACCAGAAUCUCCAAGUCCCCUUCAAGGUUAUGCUCCUAUCUCUGAAAAGGCUUUACUACCCUCCAAUAGUGCUGAGCUGAGGUCCAAGCUUUUAUCACAUGGACCUUUGAGAAGCAUUCCAGAUCCAAACAAUGGUAGGAUGUAUAUUAGUUUUCUGUUGCCAUGUAUAAAAUUGCAACAGAUUUAGCAGUUUAAGACUAAGUACAAUUAUUAUCUCACUGUUUCUGCAGAUCAAGAGUCCAGGCAUGGGUUUGCUGGUGCUCUGCUCUGUCACAAGGUGACAAUCCAGGUUUCCAUUGGGUCUAUAUUCUUUUAUGGAGCUUGGAGUCUUCUUCAACAUACAGAUUUGAGUUCCUGUGGUUGAAGGACUGAGGUCCCUGUUUUCUUGUGGCUGUCAUCUAGGGCCUGCUCUGAGUUUCUAGAGGUCACACGUAUUUCCUGGCAUGUGACUGUUUCACAGGCUUUUUAAAACAUGGCAGCUUACUUCUUGAGGGCCAUCAAGAGACUCUCCCUCUUUAGUGCUCCAAGACAGAGAAUGUAAUAUAACAUAACAUAACAUAAUGUGGAGUCUUAUUCAUGUCUUGUAGCACAUGAAUGUCUAUUAAUGCCAUUUUGUAUUGGUUAAAUGAAAGUCACAGAUUCUGCCCAUACUCAGGGAAACAAAGACAUAACUCAUAGAGGGAUUGUUCAAGGAUGUAUCUGACAGAGGAGGUUUACUGUGUUAAACUUGGGGAGUGGUUCUCAAAUUCAAGUCUGCAUUAGAAUUAUCUGAAGGGGUCUGUUAAUAGUUAGAAUUCUUGGAACUUGUCCACAGAAUUUCUGACUCUGUAAGUCUGAGAUGAGGCUCAAGAAUCUGUUAUGUCAGUGAGCAGUUAAUUUCUCAGAUGCACCAGGAGCAGAUGAGCACCAGGCUGCAUCUACAGAAGCAAUGUCA